UAAAGCAUGCUGGAGGUAUCAGAAGUGCGAAUGCUGACAUGAGUAACGACAAGGGGGGUGAAAAACCUCCCCGCCGGAAGACCGAAGGGUUCCUGUCCAACGUUAAUCGGGGCAGGGUAAGUCGACCCCUAAGGCGAGGCUGAAAAGCGUAGUCGAUGGGAAACGGGUUAAUAUUCCCGUACUUCUUACAAUUGCGAUGGGGGGACGGAGAAGGCUAGGUGGGCCUGGCGACGGUUGUCCAGGUUCAAGUGCGUAGGCUGAGUGUUUAGGUAAAUCCGGACACUCUUAAGGCUGAGACACGACGUCGAGCUACUACGGUAGUGAAGUCAUUGAUGCCAUGCUUCCAGGAAAAGCCUCUAAGCUUCAGAUUGUAAGG
rnacentral:rRNA from 1 species